GGCACCAUAGUGUGGUGUUAGCACGUCUGCUUUACACGCAGAAGAUCUUGGGUUCGUGCCCCAGUGGAGCCA
rnacentral:tRNA from 1 species